UACGUAGGGGCGAGCGUUGUCCGGAAUGAUUGGGCGUAAAGGGCGCGUAGGCGGCUGUGUAAGUCAGUAGUGGAAGUCCAGCUUUUAAGGUUGGAAGUGCUAUUGAAACUGUGCAGCUUGAGUGCAGGAGAGGUUAUCGGAAUUCCCGGUGUAGCGGUGAAAUGCGUAGAGAUCGGGAGGAAUACCAGUGGCGAAGGCGGCCUUCUGGACUGACACUGACGCUGAGGUGCGAAAGCGUGGGUAGCAAACAGGAUUAGAUACCCGGGUA
rnacentral:rRNA from 1 species